CAUCGGCAAAUUCCCAGAAGAAAUUAAGAAAAGAGCAUAUCAAGCCAUUGUCAGACCAAACGUUGAAUACGCAAGCAGUGCAUGGGAUCCAUAUCAAGAAAACCACAUCAAACAGAUAGAAAUGGUGCAAAGAAGAUCAGCACGUUUCAUCAAACAUCAAUACAGCAGAGAACCGGGGUCAGUUACUAGUCUACUGAAGGAGCUAAAACUACCAUCAUUAGAAAUAAGACGGAAAAUAAAAAGGCUUUGCUUGUUUCACAAAGCUUUACAUAAAAAGAUAGCCAUAAAUAUACCAGAUUAUGUAGAACAACAAGGCAGGACAACACGGCAAUACCACCGAAGCAAAUUUAGAAACCUUCAAACUUCAACAAACACCUACAAAUACAGCUUCUUUCCACGUACCAUCAAAGACUGGAAUACUCUACCAAUAAGACUGUUAAAUAUAGAAGAUGCAGAGGCAUUCAAGAACAGCCUCACAUCUUAUUUAACAGAGUAGUCACGCAACAAACAUUUGAUUUUAAUUUCACAUGUAAAUACGUUUUUAAUGAGCACCAUAUUGAAUGACCAAAUUAGUACUUGCGUGAUGGGUCUUAGACCCUUUGCAUUUCAACGAUAUAGAUGUAGAUGUAGAUGGA
rnacentral:lncRNA from 1 species